rnacentral:tRNA from 1 species
GAGCCCGUAGCUUAGCUUGGAUAGAGCGCCUGACUUAUUACCAGGAGAUCGCGCGUUCGAAUCGCGUCGGGCUCG